rnacentral:pre_miRNA from 1 species
GGAGAUGUCAAAGUGGUUGUGACAUGCGUUUUAUUUUUAUCGACAUAUCACAGCCACUUUGAUGAGCUUCG